UCCCACUACGUCCGGUUCCGGCAGAAGUCCAGGGAGCUGUGGCCCUCGCGCCCCGAACAUCAGACGUGGGGCCAGGCGGCAGGCCCCGAGCCCAGGAAUCGGGGAGUCCCCUCGGAAGGGUGUGCUCUCCGGAGUCAGCGGCGCCCCACGCACUUCCUCAGGAUGAGGAAACUGAGGCCCGGAGAAGAUAAGUAACUUGCCCUAAGUCACUCAGCGGCAGAGCUGAGAUUCAAAGCCAGACAGCCUGGUUGCAGAGCCUGCAAUCUAACCACUCUGUGCUGUUAUCCAACAUUUAAGCCCUGCUCUGUGCCAGGGACCCAGCAAAAGGGCAUCUUGCACAACCUCCUCUGUGAAGAAGCCACUCCAGCUAUCACAGAGGGUUACCUACUAGACACAUCUUGCCUGAAACCUGGAGAAGUGGAUGCCACAGGUGUGGCCCAGCCCCUGUGUCUAACAGCCUGUGGAGCCAGUCAUCCUUCAGCUGAGGCGGAGGCAGACUUCCCCAGUUUAUGCAGGACAGUCCACCUCCGGGCCUCCAAGUGAGCAAACACCACCAGAGGACUGAAAUUUACGCCUUGUUUCCUCCUCUUGCUAGGCAGAAAGCCCUAGAGAACCCCAGAGUAAAGGUGGACCCAGGAAGUGCAAUUUUUACCAAGUCCUUUGUGUGAUUCCUUAAAUCCUGGGAUUUCAGAGCCAGAAAUGGCCUUAUGGUCUGGAAAGGAUACCGUAUGGUCCAAGCCCUCAUUUAACAGAGGCAACUGAAGCCAGGGAGAGAAAGAAUCAUAACAGGGACUAGAACCCACUAGAACCCAGGUCUCUUGACUCCAAAGACUGUUUAAUUCAGCUGCUGGUAGCUCCCUGAGAGCUCAGAGGUCCCUGCUUGCUUCCCCCUCCCAAUCUCCCCAGUUUCUCCAAGGAGGGGCCCCCCGCAGCCCAGGAUGCCACACUGUGGAGUGGUGAUGCCCUCUGGUGGCCAUGAGUCUCUUGGCGGAAAAUCUUCAAGCCAGGCGGAAAGGCUGGAAGACUCCACCUGGAAUCCCAGCCCUGUUUCAGGAUCCCCCACGGCUCUUCUUCCUCCCAAGAGGAUCUGGGCCAACUGGGAUGCCAAGCUCCACUUUGGUCACUGAGUUCUGGAAUCUCACAGCGUCAGUUAGGAAGUUUUUUGCAUCAAAGCUGCUUCUGCUGCAGGUGAAAUUCAGCAGGGAGAAGGCAGACUGCUGGCAGGCGUUCUUGGUGUACUAACCUUUGCAUGCCAGGCAGUAUAUGUGAGGCCUCUAAAGCUUUGCCUUCUCCAACUCUCCACAGCUUUCUCCUAAGCCUAAGUCUCUUGGCUAGCAUCUGUUCUCAUCCCAUCUUCUGCAGCCCUUUAAAGCUUGGGCGGUGGGGGAAGCGUUCUGCACACCACCUGCAGCUUCAUACCAGGACACAUCCCCUCCUCCUCCCUCCAGGAAGCCUCCCCACAAAACCUCCACCGCUCUGGCUCCUCAGACAUCUGUACUCAAUCUGGACCUUCUUCCCAAGCCAGCCUCUCUCAGAAUGAGCUCUCAGUAUCCCUCCCUUUGCUCUGCCUGCCCUGGCUCCUGACACUCCUGGCUGGCCUGGGGUGGGGGCUUAGACAGCGGGGGCCCAGCUAAUGGACAAGGCCUAGGUAACGUCCCUUCUCUUCAGGACAACCCCUCGCCUGGCUAUGUUAACAGUCAGCGGCCCCCCUGUGGAGGAAAUUGGGAGAGCUGAGUCUUCCACUGAGCAGCUUAAGCUCUAGGGUACCAUGAGGAAGUCAGAGCACCUGGGGUUAGUGCUGGCCCCUCUGAGUCUCAGAGCUCUAACAUGGGCCUUGUCCAUCAGUAGGGCCCAGAACUGUCAGAAAUGAAUAAUUCACUGGGAGUUCCUCACUGGCUACUGUCACUGCUUCUAAGCUGGGGAGGUGGGAGGGAGAGGGCCUGGGGCCCUGGCUCUCUGGUCUGUCAGGAAUGAGGGGCUGGGCCCCCAGUUGCAUGACAUCACCUCUUGUGGGCGGUGGACAGCUGGUGGGCAGCUGACUGGGCAGGGAGUCGCUGUUUUUCUUCAUGGCUCCUAUUGCCGGACCAUUUCCAUGGGACAGUGUCUGUGUGUGUUCGGGGGCCUAGAAGAGAGAAUCUAGCAGUAUGGUUCAUCUGGCACAGUCCAAAGAUCUGAUCCUGGGGGGUCUUGCAGUAGGAUCAAGGUAGUUUAUUUGCAUUGAAUGUAGGUGGUCUCUGGGUCUAGUCCUGUUCAAAGGCCAGGGACCAUCUGGCCUCUUGGAUGAAAAUGGCAGGGCAUCUCUGGCAUGAACGGGUUGGAGUGGCAGAAGGAAGGAAGGUUAAGUCUCCAGGUUUUCUAUAGCAUCUGCACGCAACUCCUAAGACAUAGGGUAUGUGUUAUCUUACCCCGCCUUGUUUCAGAACAGUUGCACAUAGUGAAGAAAGAAAAUGGCAGUUCUUAGGGCCCCAGACUGCCCACAUCUCUUUCCACUUGGCAAACCACUUGCUCAGCUGUUUCAUCCCUGGUUCCCUCUCCCAGGGGACAGUGUUGUGUACCAACUUCCCUAACCCCCAAACACAUAUGCAAAACUGCCAGGCUAAGAUUCUCUCUCUUUUUUUUUUUUUGAGAUGGAGUCUUGCUCUGUUGCCCA